rnacentral:snRNA from 1 species
AUCCUAGUGCAAGGGUUUUACACAUGUCAGUGAGGAUUCGUCCGAGACUGUGUUUUUGCUAGUUGAAAACUACCUAGUUUGACCGCUUUGCCUGGUCUUCGGAUCGGGCAGGAAUUUUUGAAACCUUACUGCCCUGACUCCUCACUUGUCUUGGAG